CGUCGAAUACAUUAUAAACGGCUUGCAAUACUCUUCAGCAUCUUGUAAACAUAACCUGAUAGCACCAGUAGUUGAUUUGUGUUUACUUCAUGUAGUUAUUCCCCUUUAGAAAUGUCACUUUAUGAGCCGAAUCUCGUCAUUUGCGGGAGGUGUUAAUUUAUUUUUUUAAUAUACAAAAAUCUGUGGCUGAGGCUCACCGAAUGCUCUCAGACGCUUAUGAAAACCGGCAUAGUGGUGGAAGACUAAACAUUUUUGAAGAUGAACAAUUAAAGCAUUUGCUCGAUGAAGAUUCGUGUCAAAGUCAAGAGGAGGGUUGGCAGGAUCAUUGGAAGUGAGCCAAUAAGCAGUUUCAAAACGCCUAAACAGUCCGGGAAGAAGAUCAAAGAAAUAAGAUCAAAUGAUUAAAUCAUAUUCAACAAGAACUCGAUAGUGGAAUACUGAUCUAGUCAGAGAGAGAGAGAGAGCAAUUUAUAGAAUAUUCACUUGAGAACUGCAUGUCUUUUUAUUUUUCCUUCUUUUUCUCUUUUAAUUGCUUGUAGUGUAAUGAAAUUCUAUAAUAAAUAGUGAUCUAACAUUUGUAUGAUAACAAAGUUACUUCAUUACUUGUUACUUGGGGCAUUUCUGCUUAAAUUGAAACGUUUUUAAUAAAAUUACUUGGUGUCACAGUUACUUUAUACUUUUCCAUAUCGCGGGAUAGAUAGCACGUAAUAUGGUGUAAUGCGUUGUAGGAAAAUUUGCACACGUACACUCCCGUUUU